rnacentral:rRNA from 1 species
AGAGUUUGAUCUUGGCUCAGGACGAACGCUGGCGGCGUGCCUGAUACAUGCAAGUAGAACGCUGAAGACUGGUGCUUGCACUAGUCAGAUGAGUUGCGAACGGGUGAGUAACGCGUAGGUAACCUACCUCAUAGCGGGGGAUAACUAUUGGACAACGAUAGCUAAUACCGCAUGACAAUUAAGUACUCAUGUACUAAAUUUAAAAGGAGCAAUUGCUUCACUAUGAGAUGGACCUGCGUUGUAUUAGCUAGUUGGUGAGGUAACGGCUCACCAAGGCCACGAUACAUAGCCGACCUGAGAGGGUGAUCGGCCACACUGGGACUGAGACACGGCCCAGACUCCUACGGGAGGCAGCAGUAGGGAAUCUUCGGCAAUGGGGGCAACCCUGACCGAGCAACGCCGCGUGAGUGAAGAAGGUUUUCGGAUCGUAAAGCUCUGUUGUUAGAGAAGAACGGUAAUGGGAGUGGAAAAUCCAUUACGUGACGGUAACUAACCAGAAAGGGACGGCUAACUACGUGCCAGCAGCCGCGGUAAUACGUAGGUCUCGAGCGUUGUCCGGAUUUAUUGGGCGUAAAGCGAGCGCAGGCGGUUAUUUAAGUCUGAAGUUAAAGGCCGUGGCUCAACCAUGGUUCGCUUUGGAAACUGGAUAACUUGAGUGCAGAAGGGGAGAGUGGAAUUCCAUGUGUAGCGGUGAAAUGCGUAGAUAUAUGGAGGAACACCGGUGGCGAAAGCGGCUCUCUGGUCUGUAACUGACGCUGAGGCUCGAAAGCGUGGGGAGCAAACAGGAUUAGAUACCCUGGUAGUCCACGCCGUAAACGAUGAGUGCUAGGUGUUAGGCCCUUUCCGGGGCUUAGUGCCGCAGCU